CCUAGGGUGGCAGCAGUGGGGAAUAUUGGACAAUGGGCGAAAGCCUGAUCCAGCCAUGCCGCGUGGGUGAAGAAGGCCUUCGGGUUGUAAAGCACUUUCAGUGGGGAAGAAAGCCUUGGGGCUAAUACCCUCGAGGAAGGACAUCACCCACAGAAGAAGCACCGGCUAACUCCGUGCCAGCAGCCGCGGUAAUACGGAGGGUGCGAGCGUUAAUCGGAAUUACUGGGCGUAAAGCGCGCGUAGGCGGUCUGAUAAGCCGGUUGUGAAAGCCCCGGGCUCAAACUGGGAACGGCAUCCGGAACUGUCAGGCUAGAGUGCAGGAGAGGAGGGUAGAAUUCCCGGUGUAGCGGUGAAAUGCGUAGAGAUCGGGAGGAAUACCAGUGGCGAAGGCGGCCUUCUGGACUGACACUGACGCUGAGGUGCGAAAGCGUGGGUAGCAAACAGGAUUAGAUACCCUAGUAGUC
rnacentral:rRNA from 1 species